UACGGAGGGUGCAAGCGUUAUCCGGAUUCACUGGGUUUAAAGGGUGCGUAGGCGGAAUGAUAAGUCAGUGGUGAAAGCCCCGAGCUCAACUUGGGAAUUGCCAUUGAUACUGUUGUUCUUGAGUUCGGUUGAGGUAGGCGGAAUAUGUCAUGUAGCGGUGAAAUGCUUAGAUAUGACAUAGAACACCGAUUGCGAAGGCAGCUUACCAAGCCGACACUGACGCUGAGGCACGAAAGCGUGGGGAUCAAAC
rnacentral:rRNA from 1 species